rnacentral:rRNA from 1 species
AUUUAACGAAAGUGGCGAACGGGUGAGUAACACGUGAGCAACCUGCCUUACACAGGGGGAUAGCCAUUGGAAACGGUGAUUAAUACCCCAUAAGACCACAAUACCGCAUGGUAAAAGGGUAAAAGGGAUACCGGUGUAAGAUGGGCUCGCGUCUGAUUAGCUAGUUGGUGGGGUAAAGGCCUACCAAGGCGACGAUCAGUAGCCGGUCUGAGAGGAUGAACGGCCACAUUGGAACUGAGACACGGUCCAAACUCCUACGGGAGGCAGCAGGC